rnacentral:rRNA from 1 species
CAUGCAAGUCGAACGAUGGAGAAAAGAAUUGAAGCUUCGGCAGAAAUUCAUUUCGGAUUAGUGGCAGACGGGUGAGUAACGCGUGAGCAACCUACCUCUUACAAAGGGAUAGCCUCGGGAAACCGGGAUUAAUACCAUAUAACAUUGCGACGAAGCAUUUCGAUGCAAUCAAAGCUACGGCGGUAAGAGAUGGGCUCGCGUCCCAUUAACCAGAUGGUGAGGUAACGGCUCACCAUAGUAACGAUGGGUAACCGGCCUGAGAGGGUGAACGGUCACACUGGAACUGAGACACGGUCCAGACUCCUACGGGAGGCAGCAGUGGGGAAUAUUGCACAAUGGAGGGAACUCUGAUGCAGCGACGCCGCGUGAGUGAUGAAGGAAUUCGUUUCGUAAAACUCUGUUCUAUGGGAAGAAAAGGACUGUACCAUAGGAGAAAGCUCCGGCUAAAUACGUGCCAACAGCCGCGGUAAUACGUAUGGAGCGAGCGUUGUCCGGAAUUAUUGGGCGUAAAGGGUGCGCAGGCGGCUUUACAAGUUGGAUGUGAAAUAUUGUGGCUCAACCACAAACGUGCAUCCAAAACUGCAAAGCUUGAGUUAAGGAGAGGUAAGUGGAAUUCCUGGUGUAGCGGUGGAAUGCGUAGAUAUCAGGAGGAAUACCGGUGGCGAAGGCGACUUACUGGACUUAAACUGACGCUCAGGCACGAAAGCGUGGGGAGCAAACAGGAUUAGAUACCCUGGUAGUCCACGCCGUAAACGAUGAGUGCUAGGUGUUGGGGGUCAAACCUCGGUGCCGCAAGCAAA